rnacentral:rRNA from 1 species
UGCCAGACUCCUACGGGAGGCAGCAGUGGGGAAUAUUGCACAAUGGGGGGAACCCUGAUGCAGCGACGCCGCGUGGGUGAAGGAGCACCUCGGUGCGUAAAGCCCUAUCGGCAGGGAAGAAACAGACGGUACCUGACUAAGAAGCCCCGGCUAACUACGUGCCAGCAGCCGCGGUAAUACGUAGGUGGCAAGCGUUGUCCGGAUUUACUGGGUGUAAAGGGCGUGUAGCCGGGAAGGCAAGUCAGAUGUGAAAUCCGGAGGCUCAACCUCCGAAUUGCAUUUGAAACUGUUUUUCUUGAGUACUGGAGAGGCAGACGGAAUUCCUUGUGUAGCGGUGAAAUGCGUAGAUAUAAGGAGGAACACCAGUGGCGAAGGCGGUCUGCUGGACAGCAACUGACGGUGAGGCGCGAAAGCGUGGGGAGCAAACAGGAUUAGAUACCCCAGUA